UGAAGCCGCAAACCUUUCGACUUGUGCUA
rnacentral:piRNA from 1 species